rnacentral:rRNA from 1 species
UAACUGAAGAGUUUGAUCAUGGCUCAGAUUGAACGCUGGCGGCAGGCUUAACACAUGCAAGUCGAGCGGGGGAAGGUAGCUUGCUACUGGACCUAGCGGCGGACGGGUGAGUAAUGCUUAGGAAUCUGCCUAUUAGU